rnacentral:rRNA from 1 species
AGAGUUUGAUCCUGGCUCACAACGAACGCUGGCGGCGUGCUUAACACAUGCAAGUCGAGUGCGCGGUUGUAGCAAUACAACUGGCGCACGGCGCACGGGUGCGUAACACGUGGGUAACCUGCCCUUUGGUGGGGAAUAACUCCGCGAGAGCGGAGCUAAUUCCGCAUAAGAUCCGCAAGGAUGAAAGCAGCAAUGCGCCGAAGGAGGGGCCCGCGCCCGAUUAGCUAGUUGGUGAGGCAAUGGCUCACCAUGGCUUUGAUCGGUAGCUGGUCUGAGAGGAUGAUCAGCCACACUGGAACUGAGACACGGUCCAGACUCCUACGGGAGGCAGCAGUGGGGAAUCUUGCACAAUGGGCGAAAGCCUGAUGCAGCGACGCCGCGUGGGGGAUGAAGCAUUUCGGUGUGUAAACCCUUUCGAUCCGGACGAAACCCCGCAAGGGAUUGACGGUACGGAUAUAACAAGCCCCGGCUAACUAUGUGCCAGCAGCCGCGGUAAU